GAACUCAUUUUAGAAUGAAAUUUUUAACUUAAUGAGUCAAUUAUAAAAAGCUAAAAAAAAAUUAAAAUAAGUCUAAAAUCCUAUCAAAAACAGGAACUAAAUUGAAGUGCACUUUUGAAAAAUAAAUUAUUUUGUAUCAUUAAUUCAGUUGUAACACCUAUUUAAAAAGGCUAAAGCUUAUCCAGUAUGUCCAAGCAGAAGUAUGACGCGGACCAAUGCUAUAGAGUGCCACCCUUUAUCGAAUACUAUUAUUUCACGGGCAAUAUUUUUCCGAAAGGAGGAGCGGCCAGCGUAAACUGUGGAUCUCCUACGACGUACUGUUUAACUGAUUCCUGUCUUACACAUCCUCUAAACACGAUGUGUCAUCCCGAAUGCUUUCCACCCAGAGGAGAAAUGUGUAUCCCGUGGUUAGGAGGACCAGCUCCGCAACCUCGAGGAUUCGGAUACGGAUGUUGCGGGAUGUCCAACGGGGGUUACUAUUAAAAAGGGAAUCUUUAUUUGGCGACUUUUUAUUGGAAUGGAUUGCCAGGGAAUCCAAAGAAUUUUGCAUAAAACGGACUGCCAAAUGUAGCCAUCACAACUGAUAAAUAACUGGUUUGUACUAAAUAUUCAUCUGUCAGUAGCUGUUUUUUUUUUUGGGCAUAAGCAUGCAGUGCACAAUUUCGGGGUUUUAUUACUAAUAAA